rnacentral:rRNA from 1 species
GAUGAACGCUAGCGGAAGGCUUAAUACAUGCAAGUCGAGCGGUAGUUCCCUUCGGGGGAUGAGAGCGGCGCACGGGUGAGUAACGCGUACAUGACCUGCCUGUCAGAAGGGGAUAGCCCUGGGAAACUGGGAUUAAUACCCUAUGGUAUUGAUAUUAUGAAUGAUAUCAAUUAAAGUUGAGGCGCUGACAGAUGGAUGUGCGUCUGAUAAGCUGGUUGGUAGGGUAACGGCCUACCAAGGCGACGAUCAGUAGGGGGCGUGAGAGCGUGGUCCCCCACACGGGUACUGAGACACGGACCCGACUCCUACGGGAGGCAGCAGUAAGGAAUAUUGGUCAAUGACCGCAAGGGUGAACAAGCCAUUCCGCGUGGAGGAUGAAGGCCCUAUGGGUUGUAAACUUCUUUUAGAUGGGAAGAAAAUGCUAGAUGUAUCUGGUACUGACGGUACCAUCAGAAUAAGCACCGGCUAACUCCGUGCCAGCCGCCGCGGUAAUAC